UAAUUCAGUAAAUGUAUCUUUGGUCCCUCAGGGUAUUUCCGGUAUUCUACAAAUGGUCAAAUAGUAACUUUGGCACUAGAUUUUUUCUCACUCUAGGUGUACUUGCACUCCAAAAUUCUGGAAUGAUCUUUCAAUUUGUGUCUCUGGAAGUGUCCAUCUUCGUCUUCACCCUCAAUUUGUGUCUCUGGAAGUUCACCCUUGAGGUAUUUUUCAUCUCUCUCCGUGCUCUUCGUCCUCUUUUCUCGAUUUUUCUGGGGAUAUAAAAUGACACAGCUACUUGGUAUAUAUGCAAUCACUCUUGAAAUACCAGACUGGACCUGUAAAGUGUAAGUUGUGGAUAUAUGCAAACCAGGAGAAGGUUCUCACCAUAAGAUAAAAUAUUUGAACAUGAUCUGCAAUAUUGAAAAUUUUGGUUUCUUCAUAUUCAAAAUCUGCAGUGUUCUAAGACCUACUCUUCUGUCAUUCAGGAGCUGAAAAGAUCUUUCUUACCGUUGCAGCUCCUGGGAGAUAUUCUGCUAUAUUGCUCAGAUUAUGUUGCAAUGACACUUUCUGUUAGCUCACGAGGCAACUUGAGGAGUCUUCUGAGCCUAUGCAAGGUAUUGAUCACUUUUCAUGUUCCUCAUUGUCACUCUUAUUCGUUUUUACCCUUAUGCCUCUUAUAAUGCUUGUCUAAGUUCUUUUGGUGCAGUUGCUUCCAUUUGCUUUCUAUUCUGUAUGAUUUGACUAUGUUUCUUAGUAUACCCUUUUUGUGAAAGAACUUAUAUUUUCUUUUAUUGGUAAAGUUGUUUAUUCCAGAUGAUUAUAUAUUAUAUAAUCUACAGAAGUAAAGGAGUAAACUUUUACUGGGCAUCGUUUGCGAACUGGAAUCGGGUACAAAUUUAUCAGAUCAUUUAUCGUAAUACUUUUGUUGGCUUCCCCUCCAAAUUCUUUUUCUAUUUUAAGUGAGAGUAGUUUGUCGAUAUUUACAAUUUAAAGAGAAAUGGAGGCAAAGUAUGUAUUCAAAUAUGAUUUAUAAUUAAAAGCAUAAGCUUGUGGAAUUCUUAUUCAGAAUUGCGUCAAGAGGUCUGUUCAUGUUGUUUUCCUCUCAUACAUUCUUCCACAAAAUCUAUUUGAUGUCGUUAAGCAAAAGGGUAAGGAAGUAGAUAGGGAAAAAAGUUAAGUGCCUAUCUUGAAAAAUCAGUUUUCUCCCAGUAGCAGCCCAUCGAAAAGGUGAUUGGGAAGCCUGAAAACAUUGGAAAAGGAUAUCUAUGAAUACUUGGAAUUUUGUUCCAAUUUUAUCCCCAUCGUUAAACAUAUUGGUUUUUGGCAUCUACUUUGCAGCAAGGAAUGAUUGACACCUUUCAUUUCUCUUGAUAAUUACUGUGUACUUGCGAAGUUAAAUCACAAGUAUGUGUUUAAAAAACUAACAAUUUAAGUUUUGUGCUAUUCAAACCUGUAGUGUUGUGGUGAUCUCUAAUAUGUAGGGUCAUUAACAAUUGGUAGGGAGAGUGCAAUUUCUGGUAGAUCACCCAAAUCUCAUCAACUUAUUGAAUGUUGUGGCGCUGAUCAGGAAAGAGGUUUCUGGAGGUAACCUGUGUAUGAAUUCAUGUCAAAUAAAAGCCUAGACAAUCAUUUUUCAGCAGUGUCUUUCCUGCUCUCUCGUGGCCAACAAGACUGCACAGUGCUUGGGCAGCUUGAGGCUGAUUUAUUUACAUGAAGAAUUGUGAGUUUAGGUAUUUUAUUUGAAUAUCUUCUCCUAAUUUCACUAAUAAGAUUUUUAGUGUAUAAACUUUUAACCAGAUUUUCUUUUCACUAUGUAACCCUAUUGGUGUUGCCAUUGCAUGCACUAACGGACCUACUAAUUGCAUCAACCGAUAACAAAGAGAACUGAAAUGGAUGACGAGUAAGGAUGAGUUCUAAUUAUGAUGUUUACCUGUAAGAGAAACAAUUCAAAACCACUAGAGGUCAGAGUUUCAGUUGAGAAAAAAUCUGAGAUCAAAUGUUGGCCGGUAGUGCAGAUUGCGUCUAGAUAUUACUCCCUCUGUCCCAAUUUUUUCGCUUUCCCAGAUUUAAAUUGUAUGAACUUUAACCAACAUUUUAAGAUAUUUUUCGCCAAAUUGAUAUGAGAGAAGUUGUAACUUAUAGUAGCUUUCAUGUAGUUUUCAAAUAUAUAAGUUUUUGUAUCAGACUGACUACAGCACAGACUGGUGUACAGAGAACAACUUACAGGUAUUUUACAGUUCCAUGAAAGUGUCAUUCAAAUAUAGUUCUCCAGUACUACUUUUUUUCACUGUUAUUUGAAGUAUGAUAAUUCUUUUUAUACUUUUGUGCCACUGAACAUAAGGAGAUUCUAUUUAUUUUGGAGGUCUACACAAAAAAAAAUCCUAAUUGAACGAAGUGAGAUGGGAAUAUUUUGAUAAAUACAACAAUUACAGGUAUGUGGGAUGGUGUUUGUGACAGAUGUCUGGAAAUAGUUCUCUGAAAUAAUGCAAAAAAUUGCUGAAGGUAACUGCUGGAAUUUUUAAAACAGAAACUACUGAUAAAUAAACGUCAUUUGAGAUUGUGCUAAUGGAGAGUUGUUGAAUUUUAACUUGUCCCUUUCUCUUGAACACCUGCUGCUGGUGGAAAGUGACAGGUAUCCCGUGGAACUAAUCUUGGACGGAGGUCCAGAGGGAGUACCUAAAUAGCACUCUGACGAAAUAUCAGAGAGAGCUUAAGAUACAAUAUUGAGUUGAUAAUUACAUGGCCAACUUAACAUUUUGAAUUAGACGAAUCUCACUUCUGGAAGCACAGUUUGAGUGAUCAGAACUCUAUGAAAAAGUUUAAUUGCUUAACCUUCAUAGUUUUGCUUCUGAUUAUCUUCGUUUGAUAUCCUUAAAACAUUUAAUGUGGGAUGAAAUUUUUGCUGAAGGUGAAGAAUCGAUCAAAUGGCUUUAGGAUUCAUGCUAAAAUAUUUCUUCAUGAAGUGUUAUCAUAAAUGUUUCUGUAUAUUUCCCCCAUCUUCUUGCUAAAUAUAUCUAUUUGCUGACACUGGUUUAGAGAUUUAGUUUACUACAUUGAAUUUAUUUCUAGCAUCCAAGGAAAAUAUCCACAUUAUCAAAAAAAAAAUCUCUAUAAUUAUUUCCUAUAUUUCAGUAAAAAUAGUAACUUUCCUAGCUUUUGAACCUUACCGGUCGUUUCAGAUCAAAAUUCAGAGGGUAUCUAUGUGUUUUGAGGAUAUACAUUAUGAACCCUUCCUCACAAGUCUUCAUGAAGUUAUGCAUACUAAUUGAUUUUUUACCUUGGUUACAGUUUAUUUAGUUGAUCUUGGAAUUCCAUUAUUUGCUUGGACUAUUAGCUGGAAUUUUGUAUGCAUCUUACGAAACUUAUUCUCAUUGGGCCACCUUCUUACAGUGUAAACUUCAUUGGUUAAAUAUAAUACAUUUACCAAAAUUUCAUUUAGCUUGACACCAAGCUCAGUCCCCUUCACCCACACUCCCAGUCAGUAUUGACUCAAUUACCCAUAAAAGAUGGAGCUUAUGACUGUAGGAGGACUUAAUAUAUCGAACAAGUUAUUGUCUGUAGAAGGUACCCAAUCUGCAAAUUUAGUAGAAAUGAAAUAUCAACUUUAUGCUUUUUAUGCCCUUUAUCAUUUUUUUUUUGGUGGUUUUGCAAUUCAUUUUGUUGGAUUUCUAGCUGUUAGUAUAAUCUUUCCUUCUCAGCCAUGCUCGGUAACUGAAGAGCUGAUUGAUGGAUUUAGAGAUGGAGAAUUAUUGUUCGUUCUCUAGGUUUUCCCUGCUCUGUGCUCUUAUCUUUACGUGGCAAGUGUUUGAGAAAAUUUCUUGUUUUGCUUUAUUCCUUUUUCGUCUCCUCAAAAUGCAGCUGCACUUAAAUUCUAUCUCGGUUUACUAUGGUUUUUGAGGGAUUAGAUCUUAUGGAGCAGUUAUUACAAACUUUUCAACAAUAUGUUUGACAAGCUUGUUCAUAUAAAGGUAAGAUGGAUUACAGAUGAUGUGGGGAUUCCCUUUUUACAACGGAAAGAAGGAAGUGACAACCCAGCAGAAGCAGAAGUCGUAAAGUGUAAGAAAGGUGAAUCAAAAGCUAUGAAACAGGAAUUCAAGACAUUAUACAUAUGAUGUUUGUGGUCAACUGUGUAAAAGGAUGCACCUCCUUUUGUCAUGAAACGAACUGAAGAAUAUAGGCAGCAAGCUUUACAUUGUUGGAAGUACAUAUUUAUGAUCUUUUAGAUAUCUUGUACACCUUUGUUCCUCAAUGUAUCUAAUGCUAUAUAGUAUGAAGCGUUGAUAUUGUGAACAUUUGAUCAGGUUGACAUUAUUACUUCCGUUUUCAGUAAUAAUCCAUGCUGAUUAAAACAAAUAUAAAAUUAUUCUCAA